rnacentral:rRNA from 1 species
AGAGUUUGAUCAUGGCUCAGAAUCAACGCUGGCGGCGUGCCUAACACAUGCAAGUCGAACGCGAAAGGGGAGCAAUCCCUGAGUAGAGUGGCAAACGGGUGAGUAACACGUGGGUGACCUGCCUUCGAGUGGGGGAUAACGUUCCGAAAGGAACGCUAAUACCGCAUGACGUUCCGGGUUUAAAGACCUGGCAACCAAAGCCGGGGACCGCAAGGCCUGGCGCUUGAAGAGGAGCCCGCGUCCGAUUAGCUAGUUGGCGGGGUAAUGGCCCACCAAGGCGACGAUCGGUAGCCGGCCUGAGAGGGCGGACGGCCACACUGGAACUGAGACACGGUCCAGACUCCUACGGGAGGCAGCAGUGGGGAAUUGUUCACAAUGGGCGCAAGCCUGAUGACGCAACGCCGCGUGGGGGAUGAAGGUCUUCGGAUUGUAAACCCUUGUCGAAUGGGAAGAAUGACUCGCGCACUAACACUGCGCGGGACUGACGGUACCGUUAGAGGAAGCCACGGCUAACUCUGUGCCAGCAGCGGCGGUAAUUC